AAAAGGAGAGGAAAGAGCAACGUAAAAGUGCACCUUGGGUCUGCAAAAGCCAGGGCGGGCUACCGUGAGGAGACGAGACAGCGGGCUCCUCCCGAGCGUCUGCUCUCCUCCAGCCGUCCGACUCUCGGGAGCUCCUGAGGUCUGCACGAGGGUCCUGAGAGUCGCCGGUGCCAACCUGGGGUCUCUGACGGCCCCGCCCACUUCUCCAGCCACGCCCUCAGGCCCCCGACAGCCUCAAGUAGGGACAACCGCAGCGCCCCCCAGGGGUGAGUGGGGGAAACCACGCGCUGUGGUGUCGUCCACAGCACAGAGCCCGACUCGUGGAGAGGGUGCCGUUGGACACACGCUACAGCAAGGGGAACGGUGACACUCCAACGGAAGAAGCCACUCCCCGAAAGGCACACACUGAGCCUCAGGUGACGUGGGCCGCCGCUUCGCGUCCACGGAGACAGGAGCACGUUAGGGGCCGGGGGCCAGGGAGGUGACGGGGGUGAGGGAACGGCUUCCGGUGACUGGGACACUGGACUUGGCUCAUGGCCAUGGUUUGGUGGUGUUCGGCAUGGGGCCGAGAGAGGAGGUGUCCGGCUCACUCCAGAGGGCUCCAGGCUCCCAGCCAGGACAGUGACCCCAGCCACGUCCAACUGAGGACCCCAUGAGUCCACAGGGAUGGUCUCGCCCUGGACCUAGGACGAGGGGCCCGGGGCUCUAGGUGCCCAGUCCCUGGGCUGCUCUGCUCAGGGGGAGCCCAGUGAAGAGGAACCAUGUGCUAGCAACACAGGGGCCCUGGGCCAUCAACGGAGGACCGCGUUUCAGAAACUUCCAGAAACUUUCAGGAGCCGCGGGACCCUGCAUCACCCGGGCCGAGCAUCUAAUUCAUAGAGCAGGACUGAGUCCUCCUCUCCUGUGGGCCCCCCUCACUGAGGGGUCUCAUCCUCUCCCACGUGACCCAAUCCAUGGGCUCUGGGCCCCAGUGUGUCCUCUUGGGCUGCUCUGGGGGUGUCCCCAGCCCAGGCAGACAGACCCUGGGAGCCUGGGGGGACCCCAUCACCGUGGAAAGUCCCCCCUCCCAUGCAAUGACCCUGGCUUGCUGCUAGGAGACUGGAUGCCCCUGGGCCUUGGCAGAGCUGCCUCCAACGUCUUCCUUCUUCCUUACCUCCCAGGGUCCCGCUCCUCUGCCCUGGGC
rnacentral:lncRNA from 1 species